UUCUAGUAGAGUUUGAUUCUAGCUCAGGAUGAACGCUGGCGGUGUGGAUAAGGCAUGCAAGUCGAGCGGUCCAGCCCCGGUUCGCAAGAACUGGAGUUGGAUAGCGGCAAACGAGUUAGUAACACAUUGGUACUUUCCCCAAAGACGGAGACAACCAGCCGAAAGGUUGGCUAAUAACCGAUAGUCUGAAUUCGCCUCGGCGAAUUCAGUAAAUGACGCAAGUCGCUUUGGGAGAGGCCUAUGGCCUAUCAGCUAGUUGGUAGUGUAAUGGACUACCAAGGCUAUGACGGGUAGGGGGUGUGAGAGCAUGGCCCCCAACGAGGGAACUGAGACACGGUCCCUACUCCUACGGGAGGCUGCAGUCGAGAAUAUUCGACAAUGGGCGAAAGCCUGAUCGAGCGACACCGCGUGGAAGAUGAAGCCCUUCGGGGUGUAAAUUUCUUUUAUAGUAGAGAAAGAUGUAUCCGCAAGGGUACAUUUGACGGUAUAUUAUGAAUAAGGGGUUCCUAACUCUGUGCCAGCAGGAGCGGUAAUACAGAGACCCCGAGCGUUAUCCGGAAUUAUUGGGCGUAAAGAGUUUGUAGGUGGUUUGUUUGUUUCGAAAGAAGCAAUUCAGUGCAGGAUUUAUCUUGCAUUGAAAUAAGUCGGAUGUUAAAUUCCAUAGCUUAACUGUGGAGCCGCAUUCGAUACUGGCAAACUAGAGGUGGGGAGAGGCAAGUAGAACUCAUGGUGUAGGGGUGAAAUCCGUUGAUAUCAUGGGGAAUACCAAAGGCGAAGGCAUCUUGCUGGCCCUGACCUGACACUGAGAAACGAAAGCGUGGGGAUCAAAAAGGAUUAGAUACCCUUGUAGUCCACGCCCUAAACGAUGCUGACUAGACAUUUGAAGUAUCGACCCUUCAAGUGUCGUAGCUAACGCGUUAAGUCAGCCGCCUGGGAAGUACGGCCGCAAGGCUAAAACUCAAAGAAAUAGACGGGGACUCGCACAAGCAGUGGAGCAUGUGGUUUAAUUCGACGGUAACCGAAGAACCUCACCAGGGUUAGAAAUUCUGACGAAAGCCUUUCGAAAGAUUGGCCCUCGCAAGACGGCAGAACAGGUGCUGCAUGGUUGUCGUCAGCUCGUGCCUUAUGGUGUUCCGUUAAGUCGGGAAACGAGCGCAACCCUUAUUGUCUGUUACAAGUGUCAGACGAAACUGCCCAUCUUUGAUGGGAGGAAGGAGAGGAUGACGUCAAAUCAGCAUGGCCCUUUGAUACCCUGGGCCACACACGUGCUACAAUGGAUACUACAGCGGGCUGCCAAACCGUAAGGUGGAGCCAAUCCCAAAAAGUAUCCUCAGUUCAGAUUGAGGGCUGCAACUCGCCCUCAUGAAGCCGGAAUUGCUAGUAAACGCGGAUCAGCUAUGCCGCGUUGAAUACGUUCUCGAGUCUUGUACUCACCGCCCGUCACGUCAAGGGAGCCGGGGAUACCCAAAGCAUCAUUAUUAUUAUGGUUCUAAGGUAGAUUCGGUAACAGGGACGAAGUCGUAACAAGGCAUGCGUAGCGGAAGCUGUGCAUGGAACAUCUCCUUU
rfam:Parcubacteria bacterium GW2011_GWC1_38_17 TS79_C0001, whole genome shotgun sequence.